AGAGUUUGAUCAUGGCUCAGAACGAACGCUGGCGGCAGGCUUAACACAUGCAAGUCGAACGCUCGUAGCAAUACGGGAGUGGCAGACGGGUGAGUAACGCGUGGGAACAUACCAUCCGGUUCGGAAUAGCUCAGGGCCACUUGGAUUAAUACCGGAUACGGCUGUGAGGCGCCAGAUUUAUCGCCGGAGGAUUGGCCAGCGUUCGAUUAGCUUGUUGGUGAGGUAACGGCUCACCAAGGCGAUGAUCGAUAGCUGGUCUGAGAGGAUGAUCAGCCACAUUGGGACUGAGACACGGCCACCACUCCUACGGGAGGCAGCCAAGGGGAAUAUUGGACAAUGGGCGCAAGCCUGAUCCGGCCAUGCCGCGUGAGUGAUGAGCCUUAGGGUUGUCCGGCUCUUUCGCUCGGGACGAUAAUGACGGUACCGAGAUAAGAAGCCACGGCUAACUUCGUGCCAGCAGCCGCGGUAAUACGAAGGGGGCUAGCGUUGUUCGGAAUUACUGGGCGUCCGGCGCGUGUAGGCGGGUCUUUAAGUCAGGGGUGCCAUGCCAAGGCUCAACCUUGGAACUGCCUUUGAUACUGGAGAUCUUGAGUCCGGAAGAGGUGAGUGGAAUUGCGAGUGUAGAGGUGCCAUUCGUAGAUAUUCGCAAGAACACCAAAGGCGAAGGCGGCUCACUGGUCCGGAACUGACGCUGAGACGCGCCAGCGUGGGGAGCCAACAGGAUUAGAUACCAUGGUAGUCCGCGCUGUCCGCGAUGGAUGCUAGCCGUUGGGGAGCUUGCUCUUCCGAGGCGCAGCUAACGCUUUAAGCAUCCGGCCUGGGGAGUACGGUCGCAAGAUUCCGACUCCGAGGAAUUGACGGGGCCAGCACAAGCGUGGAGCAUGUGGUUUAUUUCGAAGCAACGCGCAGAACCUUACCAGCUUUUGACAUGUCCUGGACGGAUUGCAGAGGAUGC
rnacentral:rRNA from 1 species